CACAUUGAGGCAACAGAAUGAACAAAUGCACAUUAAUUCAAAAAUGCUUCAAUUAAUCUGAAGACAAAUCAUGGCUAAACAGAAAACACAACAUGAUCAUCACACAAAAAAUUAGGGCAAUUGGACAUGAUUAAGCAUGGUAAUCAAAUUCCAAAAGGCAAGGCAAUCAAAACAAGCUCAAAUAGGACACAAUUUGGUACAUCAACUUAGCAUAAGCCUCAAACAGAAUUGGAA
rnacentral:lncRNA from 1 species